UACGAAGGUCCCAAGCGUUAUCCGGAUUUAUUGGGCUUAAAGGGUGCGUAGGCGGAUUUUUAAGUCAGUGGUGAAAGCCUUCAGCUUAACUGAAGAACUGCCAUUGAUACUGAUGAUCUUGAGUAUGAUUGAGGUGGGCGGAAUGUGUCAUGUAGCGGUGAAAUGCUUAGAUAUGACACAGAACACCGAUUGCGAAGGCAGCUCACUAAGUCAUAACUGACGCUGAUGCACGAAAGCGUGGGGAGCAAACAGG
rnacentral:rRNA from 1 species